GACAGAGGGUGCAAACGUUGUUCGGAAUUACUGGGCGUAAAGCGCGCGUAGGCGGACCCGCAAGUCGGGGGUGAAAGCCCGAGGCUCAACCUCGGAACUGCCUUCGAUACUGCGGGUCUCGAGUCCGGGAGAGGUGAGUGGAAUUCCUAGUGUAGAGGUGAAAUUCGUAGAUAUUAGGAAGAACACCAGUGGCGAAGGCGGCUCACUGGCCCGGUACUGACGCUGAGGCGCGAAAGCGUGGGGAGCAAACAGG
rnacentral:rRNA from 1 species